UGGAGGCGUCGGCAGAGCAGGCAGACCAAGGA
rnacentral:piRNA from 1 species